CAGCAGCCGCGGUAAUACGAAGGGGGCUAGCGUUGCUCGGAAUCACUGGGCGUAAAGGGUGCGUAGGCGGGUCUUUAAGUCAGAGGUGAAAUCCCGGAGCUCAACUCCAGAACUGCCUUUGAUACUGAGGAUCUUGAGUUCGGGAGAGGUGAGUGGAACUGCGGGUGUAGAGGUGAAAUUCGUAGAUAUUCGCAAGAACACCAGUGGCGAAGGCGGCUCACUGGCCCGGUACUGACGCUGAGGCACGGAAGCGUGGGGAGCAAACAGGAUUAGAUACCCCUGUAGUCCCUGUCUCUUAUAC
rnacentral:rRNA from 1 species